rnacentral:rRNA from 1 species
AUUGAACGCUAGCGGCAUGCUUAACACAUGCAAGUCGAACGGUAGCAGAUCUAGCUUGCUAGAUGCUGACGAGUGGCGGACGGGUGAGUAACGCGUAGGAAUUUACCUUGUAGUGGGGGAUAACCUGGGGAAACCCAAGCUAAUACCGCAUAAGCCCUAAGGGGGAAAGCGUGGGACCGAAAGGCCACGUGCUAUGAGAUGAGCCUGCGUCGGAUUAGCUAGUUGGUGGGGUAAAGGCCUACCAAGGCGUAGAUCCGUAGCUGGUCUGAGAGGACGACCAGCCACACUGGGACUGAGACACGGCCCAGACUCCUACGGGAGGCAG